rnacentral:misc_RNA from 1 species
GAAGUGCGAUAAGUAAUGUGAAUUGCAGAAUUCCGUGAAUCAUCGAAUCUUUGAACGCAUAUUGCACUUUCUGGUAUUCCGGAAAGUAUGCCUGUUUGAGGGUCAGUUAAAUAAAAAUCGGUGUUGUUACUGCCUUUCGUAGUGACGCGUCGGAAUUGAGUUGUCUUUACCUUCGGUUAAGUGACUUAAAAUUUUGCAUGAUUUUCGAACGUAUUUAAAUUGCUUACGUACGUUUGAGAUAUCGAAUAUUUUAUUAGGUUCGGUCAUCCUCAUGACUCGCGCCUAUAAUUUUUCAUUAAAUGACCUCAAAUCAGGUAAGAAUACCCGCUGAACUUAA